GGGGGCGACAGGUUUCGACGGGGAUAGACAGGAUAUGAGCAGCAUUCCGAGGUGCCGCCAGGCCUCGUAAAACAGGCGGAAAACAUAUAACUGCCAACACUUUGGCAUUAGCUGCUUAAACAGUAGCACACCCUUUCUAAUCUUGCUUGGGUGAUAGAAAGGGUGCCGGUUACCAGGCUGGCUCCUCAACCUUUGUCCUGGGAAGAGGAGUAAGAUUAAAGGGACUGGUCCUUUAGGGAUCCUGUUUAUGGGAGCCAUAAAGGACGAGAUUCAAAACAUAAACUAAGGAUGUAGAUACUCAUAUCUCGGUAUCUUCGGACGUGGGUUCGAUUCCCACCGCCUCCACUA
rnacentral:tmRNA from 1 species